UUCGAUGAUCUGCAUUGUUAUUAUUGCUCUUAUUUUUAUUACUUCUAUUCUUUUGUUAUUCUUACUGCUUAUCUUACUGUUUUCCUUUUUGCUAUUUUUAUGGGUUUUUUUUUUCCCCCUUACAACCUCCCCCCCCCCCCCCUCCCUUAUUUUGCUGUACGUUUCCCUUCGCUAGGCCUUGCAGGAGUUUGCAGCUUGGCCGCAGGGCUCGUGCAGAUGGGGGGGAAGGGGGGAGAGGCGUUGCGUUUUAUAUAUUUUUGAUAUUAAUUCUUUUUAAAGCGCUGCGUCGACGGAGGGCUAAAAAUAGCCGUUGCCAAAGCGGAAUCCGCUCGGAUGGGGAGGAAAAGGGUUCGGAGUGCCCCCCCCGGCGAUGCAUCGCCGCGAUAAGGCCGGGGGGGGCGCGGAGACAGUCGGAGGGGGGAGGCGAGGAGAGAAGGGAUGCCCCGAGCCCCAUAGUGGGGCAGAGGGGUGAUGAGGGCCUGGCCCUUACUGCCCCGGGGGACAGCGUGUACCCUGGGUAUCAGCUGGGGCACUGGGAAGAAAAUGCAGGGGGUUCCAAGGCUGUCUUUUCCUUAAAAAGCCGACUUUUGGUUUUAUUUCUCAUUUGUCUAUGUGGUUAUUUCUGUACUUGAAAGUGCAACUUAAUUUCCAGAGGCCACCUUCGGUGCUUGCCUAUCAAGAGUGUUACAGUGUUUCCAUGCUUUAGGACUUGGGUCCUAAACUGAGAAGCCCAGGGGCAGCCGCAUCUCGGAGCACACGGAGGGGCGAUGCCCGUAGCGAUGCCCGUGGCCGCGCCUGAGGGAUGCUGGAGGCCCAGUGCCCAUCGCACUGACAAGUCGAGGCUUGUUUUGCUUGUCCACGGCCGUGGGCAGGCAGAGGGAGUUGCAGACCCCACGCCACUUCCUUCUUCUUAAAGCAUGUCUGCAAAGAUGGGCAGUAAUGAGAGCACUGGUUUGGAGAGCAUUGUUUGGGUGAUGUGCUGACUGGUUUGGAUUAGCGUAGAAGCAUGCCUAUCUGUUGCUGUAAAAUAUGCUGAAAAAUCUCACUCUGAAGUGCUGACAUCACCGUAAGAAAUAAUGCUACAAUGCAAGAUUUGAUAACAUCUCAGAGACACCAUUUUCCUUUCCUCUGUGAUUUUAGAAAUUGUGUAGUAAGGAUGUGUGCUUUCCGAGCACGUGGAGCAGCCAGGUGCUGUGCUGGGUGCCAUGUGUGAUGGAUGCCGGCUGACAUCCACGGAGCUUAGUGUGUGCUAUAUACAUUGUUAGCUUUGUGUUAGAAAGCCUCUAACUUUUGUUUUUUCCCCUUUUCUCGCAAGAAGUGUGGCUUGCUCCUGGGUUAGGAUGCCGUAAUCCAGGUAGAUGUGGCUGUGCCUUUGUGCGCAGGCAGUGAGGUGUACAGGUGCACUGUGUCAGCCCUUGGGAGUGCCUCUGUUUCUGUUCAGUGUGGGACACGCUGUGCACCUCCAGCAUCCCUGCACGGUGUGAGCACUGCAGGCCGAGGUGCUGCAUCCCUUGCUCGGGCUGCGUGCUGAUGUCCUCGUGCUGCCAGAGCAGGUUGGCAAGAGUGAGAAUAAGGAAGGGCUGGUGCCUGCUUCUGCUGAAAGCUCUGCGUGUUGCAGAAAUGAAUUAUGUAUAGGAAUUAGUUCUUAAAAUGGAAGAUGGGCUCCCUGUGUGAAGUUCCGUGCAUGGAAUACAACUUCCGCAGGAGCUGCCUGCUCUCUGAGGCUGGGAGCUGUGUGCCGACGGCACAGCUCGUGUCGCAGCUCUGCAGCUGUGCUGUUCUCUCUCUGCCGAACCAAAGCCCAGAUUUCUGCUCCAUCAAAGGCUGUAUCUGCUCAACUUUGAGCUUAUGCCUAAUUCUCUGCAGGACCCGAGCCGUAUCUUCCUGUUUUUAAUCAGAUUGCUGUGCAGAGAGGGCUUUCGGUUGGUGGCUGAGUGUAUCUCACUAACUUUUAUAAAGGAAUUACUGCAGCACUGAGGGUGUGGAGAAAGACCGGGGAAAAAACUGUAUCUACCAUUUUUGAAUGUAUCAGAAUAUCGUUGUGUUCUUCUAUCACCUUUCAGAUGAGAAUGUUCAGUGGGUUACAACAGUGUCACUGCUUUUCUGUAAUCAUGCAGGCGCAGCCCUACUAGGAAUUGCAAGGUAGGGCUUACACAUGUGAUAUCUUCAUAAAAAAAUACAUUUAUACACACACACCUUUUUUUCACCCAUUGGUCUGUGCAAGCAAUAGCACUGAUGCCAUGUCAAGGGCAGGACAUUGACUUUUGUGAUCUGGGAGGUGUUUCCAUGGCUUGUGGGAACCCCGAGGCUCAUCUUUUUGUUCCCUAUCUGUGGAUAUAGUGGCAACUCUCUG
rnacentral:lncRNA from 1 species